rnacentral:rRNA from 1 species
GGAAUCUUCCACAAUGGACGCAAGUCUGAUGGAGCAACGCCGCGUGAGUGAAGAAGGCUUUCGGGUUGUAAAACUCUGUUGUUGGAGAAGAAUGGUCGGCAGAGUAACUGUUGCCGGCGUGACGGUAUCCAACCAGAAACCCACGGCGAACCACUUGCCAGCAGCCGCGGUAAUAAGUAGGUGGCAAGCGUUAUCCGGAUUUAUUGGGCGUAAAGCGAGCGCAGGCGGUUUGUUAAGUCUGAUGUGAAAGCCCUCGGCUUAACCGAGGAAGCGCAUCGGAAACUGGGAAACUUGAGUGCAGAAGAGGACAGUGGAACUCCAUGUGUAGCGGUGAAAUGCGUAGAUAUAUGGAAGAACACCAGUGGCGAAGGCGGCUGUCUGGUCUGUAACUGACGCUGAGGCUCGAAAGCAUGGGUAGCG